rnacentral:rRNA from 1 species
GAUGAACGCUGGCGGCGUGCCUAAUACAUGCAAGUCGAGCGAACAGACGAGGAGCUUGCUCCUCUGACGUUAGCGGCGGACGGGUGAGUAACACGUGGAUAACCUACCUAUAAGACUGGGAUAACUUCGGGAAACCGGCGCUAAUACCGGAUAAUAUAUUGAACCGCAUGGUUCAAUAGUGAAAGACGGUUUUGCUGUCACUUAUAGAUGGAUCCCCGCCGCUUUAGCUAGUUGGUAAGGUAACGGCUUACCAAGGCAACGAUGCGUAGCCGACCUGAGAGGGUGAUCGGCCACACUGGAACUGAGCCACGGUCCAGACUACUACGGGAGGCAGCAGCAGGGAAUCUUCCGCAAUGGGCGAAAGCCUGACGGAGCAACGCCGCGUGAGUGAUGAAGGUCUUCGGCUCGUAAAACUCUGUUAUUAGGGACGAACAAAUGUGUAAGUAACUAUGCACGUCUUGACGGUACCUAAUCAGAAAGCCACGGCUAACUACGUG